UACAGAGGUCUCAAGCGUUGUUCGGAUUCAUUGGGCGUAAAGGGUUCGUAGGCGGCGCGGUAAGUCGGGUGUGAAAUCUCGGGGCUUAACUCCGAAACUGCAUUCGAUACUGCCGUGCUUGAGGACUGGAGAGGAGACUGGAAUUUACGGUGUAGCGGUGAAAUGCGUAGAUAUCGUAAGGAAGACCAGUGGCGAAGGCGACUACCUGGCCUGUUCUUGACGCUGAGGCGCGAAAGCUAGGGGAGCAAACGGG
rnacentral:rRNA from 1 species